rnacentral:tRNA from 1 species
AAACUGGUAAGUUAAGUAAACUGCGGGGUUCAUGAUCCUGUUAUACGUGUUGGCGUCUAGUUGA